GAUCAGCCGGAUAGAAUUCAGAGCCAGCUGAGCAGGGCAGAGGUCGUAGUAGUCAAAAAAAUUUCAGACGAACUCCGAAAUCGAAAAUCGAAGACCGACCUGAAGGUCUUCGACAUAAAUUAUGAUCUGGUCCGAAGGAGGAGAAUUCACCUGACCGUCCGAGCCAGGAGCGAAAAAUUGAUACCGCUUUGGGAUACGGUAUUGUUCUCGGAGUCGUUCAACGUUGGGCCU
rnacentral:lncRNA from 1 species